CUCUUUCGACGUGUUUCCUCGCUGGACAUCCUCUCAGAGUGCUACACUUGUAGUACCCUCUGCAAUAACGAAAAAAUGAAAAAACAAUUAGGUUUGGAAGAUCGAACGAAGAAAUAUUAUUUCGAGGAUUGAAGUUGUCGUGGGUACCUUGGAAACGGAGAACCCUUGAUAGGUUUCUGUCCGUAUUUUCUCCACGAGUACUCGUCCGGUGGUAUGUCGGCGGUUUUUGAACUUAUCGCCGGGACUCUUAUCGUCUUCUUGAUUCUGUUCUUCCUACUAUAAAUAAUAAUAAAAUAUAAUCACAAAAAGAGUCAAAACCCCACAAAAAUAUAUUCAUAUAUUUAAAUACAAAGGAAUAAUAACUUAAUAAUAAGAAGAAAAAUGGUGAGAACCGCGAGACUGACUUUUAGAUCUGUAGUUAUUAGUUUAUUUAAUACCUUCUUUUGUUGCAGUGGCAUCGGGAACCGGAACCGACGUCGGAAUGAGCUUGACUAUGGCACCUUUUCUUAAACGGAGAAGAAGAAAGUGGAGGUUUCCCCAAAGACCCAGCCGGAGCCGACCCGGCGGGUAUAAAAAGCGAAGAACCACAACCCAAUUUACC
rnacentral:lncRNA from 1 species